GACGAACGCUGGCGGCGUGCUUAACACAUGCAAGUCGAGCGGUAAGGCCCUUUCGGGGGUACACGAGCGGCGAACGGGUGAGUAACACGUGGGUGACCUGCCCUCAGCUCUGGGAUAAGCCUGGGAAACCGGGUCUAAUACUGGAUAUGACUCCAUGACGCAUGUUGUGGGGUGGAAAGCCUUGUGCGGCUGAGGAUGGGCCCGCGGCCUAUCAGCUUGUUGGGGGGUGAUGGCCUACCAAGGCGACGACGGGUAGCCGGCCUGAGAGGGCGACCGGCCACACUGGGACUGAGACACGGCCCAGACUCCUACGGGAGGCAGCAGUGGGGAAUCUUGCGCAAUGGGCGAAAGCCUGACGCAGCGACGCCGCGUGAGGGAUGAC
rnacentral:rRNA from 1 species